CACGUAGGGUGCGAGCGUUGUCCGGAAUUAUUGGGCGUAAAGCGCUCGUAGGCGGUGUGUCGCGUCGGCCGUGAAAACCUGCAGCUUAACUGUGGGCUUGCGGUCGAUACGGGCAUCACUUGAGUUCGGCAGGGGAGACUGGAAUUCCUGGUGUAGCGGUGAAAUGCGCAGAUAUCAGGAGGAACACCCGUGGCGAAGGCGGCACUCUGGGACGGUACUGACGCUGAGACGCGAAAGCGUGGGGAGCGAACAGG
rnacentral:rRNA from 1 species